UACGGAGGGUGCGAGCGUUGUCCGGAUUUAUUGGGUUUAAAGGGUGCGUAGGUGGCUGUUUAAGUCAGUGGUGAAAUACGGUUGCUCAACAAUCGAGGUGCCAUUGAUACUGAAUAGCUUGAAAUAAUUGGAGGCGGCCGGAAUGGAUGGUGUAGCGGUGAAAUGCAUAGAUAUCAUCCAGAACACCGAUUGCGAAGGCAGGUGGCUACGAUUGGUUUGACACUGAGGCACGAAAGCAUGGGGAGCAAACAGG
rnacentral:rRNA from 1 species